CCUCGUGCUGCUUCACGAACCACCAGUGGUACGCGUGCCACAGUUUGAGAACCACUGGUCUAGAAGGUCGCGGUCGAGAAGAAGAUGGUACAUCAUCUCCAUACUGUUCCCUACUGGAGUAGCCUGGAUCAGACUGCAUUUCUGCUGAUGCCAUAUAGCCAGAGCCCAUGUCCUGCCUGUCAAUGAAUUCAUCAAUGCAAUCAAACAAAAUGCCUGGUAACACUGGUCACAGGCCUGCAAGUUGGGACGGUAAAGCAUUUACCACUUUGUAAUGUUGCCAUUCCUUCUCACAACACUUAAAAGACAAUUUGGCACCAAGAACACCAAGCAAUAAAGUUAAAUUUGUUUUA